UGGAACGGUGGCUAAUACCGGAUGUGCCGAGAGGUGAAAGGUUAACUGCCUGGAGAUGAGCUCGCGUCUGAUUAGCUAGUUGGUGGUGUAAGGGACUACCAAGGCGACGAUCAGUAGCUGGUCUGAGAGGAUGAUCAGCCACACUGGAACUGAGACACGGUCCAGACUCCUACGGGAGGCAGCAGUGGGGAAUUUUCCGCAAUGGGCGAAAGCCUGACGGAGCAAUACCGCGUGAGGGAGGAAGGCUCUUGGGUUGUAAACCUCUUUUCUCAGGGAAUAAGCAAGUGAAGGUACCUGAGGAAUCAGCAUCGGCUAACUCCGUGCCAGCAGCCGCGGUAAUACGGAGGAUGCAAGCGUUAUCCGGAAUGAUUGGGCGUAAAGCGUCCGUAGGUAGCAGUGUGUGUCUAUUGUUAAAGAGUUUGGCUUAACCAAAUAAAGGCGGUAGAAACUACACAGCUAGAGUGCGUUCGGGGCAGAGGGAAUUCCUGGUGUAGCGGUGAAAUGCGUAGAGAUCAGGAAGAACACCGGUGGCGAAAGCGCUCUGCUAGGCCGCAACUGACACUGAGGGACGAAAGCUAGGGGAGCGAAUGGGAUUAGAUA
rnacentral:rRNA from 1 species